rnacentral:lncRNA from 1 species
ACGAAGCCAAUUGCAUUGGAUCAAGUCGACGAAGGCGACAUCAAGCAACUUUUUGUACAAAAGCACGGAGAACAUUAGAGACGCGCACCACACAAAAGCAUAGUAGCUAGUACAACAUCAUUAUCAUUAGCAUCACCCGUGAGCACGUAUCUAGGACGGUAAACCCAGGAUGCCAGUAUCUUCUUAGCCCUGGGUCCACAUUAUCUUAUUCAGUUCCGGCCAAGGGCGACAUACCUCGUCCACCAGGGCAUGAUAGCGGCACGGCGGCACACCUAGGCCUGGGCCCCAAGAUCCAUAGGCUUGGCCGCCUCCGGCUGGCUCUCCCCGGCGGUCUGGGCGUCAGAUUCCACAGGCUUGGCAUCCGGCGAGCUCUCCUCCCCGGUCUGCGCAUCAGGUCCCACAGCCUUGGCAUCGGGCGAACGCUCCUCGGAGGAGGUCUGGGCAUCCAGUCCCAUAGGCUUGGCAUCGGACGAGCGCUCCUCGGAGGAGGUCUGGGCAUCCAGUCCCAUAGGCUUGGCAUCGGACGAGCGCUCCUCGGAGGUCUGGGCAUCAAGUCCCGUCGGCUUGGCAUCCGGCGAGCGCUCCCCGGCCGAGUUCGUCCCGAACGCCUUGGCGAUGCGCUCGAUGGGGAUGCCGGGGAGGAACCGUGCGCCGGGGAACCCCCGCCCGGCCGCGAACGAGAUCACCCUGUUGUACUUCUCGCACCAGUAGGCGGCGGUGGGCACGACGAUGUGCGCCACCUGCGGGAACACCGGCAGCCCGUUGAGCGAGCGCCAGGCGGAGACGGCGAGGUGCUCGGCCGCCGGCUCGUAGCGCGCGUACAGGUCCUUGGCCACCGGCUCGCAGCGCACGUAGAGGUCCUUGGCCACCGGCUGGACCAUGCCGUACACGUCCUUGGCCACGCCCUUCACGCCGGACCGCCUCGCCCCGUCGGCGAUCUCCCUGGCCAGCUCCGGCACGGCGUGGACCGCGUGGGACGCCUGCGCCGACGCGGACUUCACCGCCGACGGGAGGUGCCGGCCCAGCUCAUGCACCGCGUCGUCCACCUGCCAUUGCCAAUGCACGCCACUCAUUAGCAGCCACAAAGCAAACAUCAUUCUAAUAGAGCCAUGCUUGAAAUUGACGACAAGUGUCGCUGGAUUGCCGUGACAAAAACAAAAUGAAAUGCAAUCGACGCAUGUGAUUCCCCGCGGCGCCACCUCGGGGUCUCCGCCAGUGCGCCGGAAUCAAAGGAAUCUAGUCGGGAUCGAGACACGGGGAGAUCCCACGCACCGGGACGGGAGAAUUCUCCGCCACACAGCUCUGCCCACCAAACGAGGCCCCACUCCACGCACCAGAACGGGAAAAUUCUCGAUAGAACGGGAAACUGCAGAGGUUAUGUCCACCGCUAGAAAAUCCAGCGGCGCGUGCUAAGCAUGGCAGUUUGGCAGCAGCAGUACCCCACUCCAUGGGCCGCGAAACGAGGGCAGCCGCACCCGAUGUCGACCCUAAGCUACGGUGGGGGAAGCGGGGCGGCUCGCGAGACGUGCGGGGGACCGUACGCACCUUGCGGUCGACGAAGGCGAGGACGUGGAGGGGGACGCCGUGGAGGCGGCGGGCGACGGGGCCGGCGACGCGCCUGACGGCGGACUCGACGGCGUCGACUCUGGGGCGGAGCGAGCCGGAGUGGUCCCUGGCGAGCGCGUAGAGCGCCGCGAUGCACACGGCCGCCUGCACCGACACCACGCGCACGAACUCCAGGCGCCUCAGCCUCGGCCUCUCCUGCAAGCAACAACCAACCAAACACGAAACGCCCAAAUUCAGGACCAAAUCGGCGCAAACUCCGCGCCGAAUCGAGCCGAGAAGCAAGGGGGGAGGGGAGGGAUUUCGUGGCGCGUACCGCCUGCGGGCUGGCGUCCGCCAUCGCUCGCGAACCGCCUGCGAAUCGAAGGAAGGAAGGAACGAACGAACGGGGGGUUUCUGGAAGCUGGCUGGUGGGGGGGAAUGCGAAUGUGACUCGGUGGAAUUUUCCUCCUUCCUGCUACAGCUAAAACGGGAGCGAAAUGCCGGGGCCGGGACGAGGGCCCUAAAUAGGCGCGCGAGGGGUGUCGCGGGGCCGUCCGAUGGGGAGGGCGUUCGAUCGGAGCCGUCGUCGACACCGCGCCAGAAGAAGGGUCCGGGUUUGGGAGCGGAGCCGGUACGACGUGGCUGGCGUGAGCGGCACGUGGCCGGGACGGGAGGGGCACGUCGCUAGCGGCGGUAUCUUUUUCCUCGUCGGUCCGUGCGCCGAGAGGAGAGAGAGAGAUAAUUGUGACUUUGGGCAGACGGACGGCUGUGGUGACCGGAGUCCGGCGCCGUGAUGUCACCCUGGUGAUGGAGUGUGUGUGAUAAGACAUGAUCAUGAUACCAUGUCUCAAAAAAUACAAAAUUGUUUUUUUUAAUUGUGAAUGUUCACAAGACGUAUGUCUACUAACCCUAAAAAGUUCAGAUCCAAAAUCAAACGAAACUACUAUACGGACGACAGUACCCUGGCCGAUAGCUGGACGAUGUUGGAUCGAACGGUGUUGUUCAGUUUUGCUUUUCACGUGAACAGCUUCCUGUGCUACAUCGUCUGCAAAUUGUCCAAUGUUUGUCGUCUGCAUAGCAGCGUUCAAAUCAAAACACACGUUGAGAAAUAAAAAACGGAGCUGCUAAAACUCAGUCGAAUGAGAUUUUGUGAAGUCUUAAUCGACGAGUUAGCCGUUGGAUAUUUUUUUCGCUUUAAGAUUCACGCCAGGUGUGUUUGUCUUUGUUUCGGCCUGUAUAAGGCGAACAGCCCGUUUCCUUGUUGUUUGUUGGACCUUUUUGUAGCGUGCGUGUGUGUUGCUUUUGUGUUGGGCGGGUGUUCAGCCGGGCCUUUUUCAUUGUUUUUUGCCUUUUUGUCGUUGCUUCCUGCUGCUUUCGCUCUGGGUUGUUUACCUGCUUUGCUCCCAAUUUUUCCUUUUCUCAUUUCUUUUUCUGUUUUUCUAUUAGUUUUGUUUUUUCAUAAGUAUUACUUUCUCUGUUUCUAAAUAUUUGUCUUUUUAAAGGUUUUAAAUGAUGAUUACAUAUAAAGUAAAAUGAGUAACUCUAUACUUUAAAAUAUGUCUAUACUAGUAAGAUGCCCGUGCUAUGCAUAGCACGGGAUCACACAAAAUUAGUUGAAUUUAAGUUAUAGUCAGGAACCAUACGUUGCUAUGGACAAUAAAAGAAGUACCGGGACAUAUUCAGGAACCGGAUAUUGCUACAAACAAUAAAAAAGGUACGGAGACAUAGUUAGGAACCAGAAGUUUGCUAUGGACAAUAGAAAAUAUACUGAGACAUUGAUCGAAAUGAUGAUAUAUUGUUGAUAGGUACACAUCAAGCACAAUCAAACAUAUGGUAUAUUUGAACAAAGCAAGAAAAUGAACAGCACUUGCAAUACAUUUUUACUGAGCAAAUAAACAAAAUGUACAUUAAAACAUGCUUUGAAAUCAUGUGAAUAUAGAAGGGGAGAGUGCACAUGUACACACACACACACACAGUCAUACUGGACCUCUUGUAACUUGCUUACAUCAACCAUGUUUCGGCAACAAAAAAAUAUACCAAUAACACACAGUAAGGAAACAAAUAUUUGUCGUGUCACCGGAAAAAUGGAUGUGGAGCUACCUAGCAAAGGAAGGGCGUCGAUGACCAAGAGACUUGCUGUAGGCGUCAUCCAAAAAAUUUGAACAGACGGAGUAACAAAGAGAACUACCAAAAAAUAAUUCAAACACAGGUAUGAUUUGUUUUUUUACAAAAUAUCAGGAACACUAAAGCAAGUACUCCCUUUGUCCGGAAAUACUUGUCGCAGAAAUGCAUAAAGAUAGAUGUAUCUAGAACUAAAAUACAUCUAGAUACAUCCAUUCCUCCGACAAGUAUUUCCGGACGGAGGGAGUAUCUAAGUUAUUUUUCUGAAACUUCUCUGCAAAAACUACAUAACCAUACAUAGGGAAGAAAUUUUAGAUGACUGACCCUAGUUAAAAAGACUGAAUUUUUACAGCCACGAAAUUGCACUUUAUUCAUACCUUGUACUACAUGCCGAGAACUUCUUUGUAGACCAUUUCUUUGUAAAAGUUGCAAUGAAGUUGGGCUGGCCUUCCUUUUGCUUAUUCAGGAGAGUAAGGUGCCCGUGCGUCAGUAUGGAACAAUAACAUGCAAAUGCCGAUUAACUGUAUUGUGAUAUUUUCUACAUGUCUUAGUCUUCUUACCUAUAUCGUCUCCACCCAUCACUCAACUCACGGCUCCCAACUCACAGAUCUCCACUGUAGAACAUAUUUUCUCAUCACAUCCAAAACAUCCCUAGCCCAUUUCUACCAAAUACAACUACCAAAUACAAUAACCAUUGAUAGGCCAACAACCAUGAACAGCAAUAGAACUGCAGUGCUUGGGUAACCAAAUCAGUACUUGGGUGCUCACGAUGAAACCAAAUCAGCUAUUGGCAGCAAGGACACGAGAUAAAUAGAACUUCUUGAAGUGCAUUACUUGUAUUAGGAAUUUAAAACAGAGACCAUCCACAUAAAUAUUGACAGUAAGGUCGCAGCUUUGUACUAUUAGAAAUGCUAGUUCCACAAAAUUUUGGAGUUCAUCCCGCAGAUAAUACGAAGAGGAAAUUCCUCAUCCAUGAGCUUUCAUAUGGCAAGCAUGUCGAGAUACAAGCUUCCUCUAAAGGUAUAUUGUCCAAAAUUGCAGUUCUAUUAUCCAGAACUUCAUCUACACGCAACUUACUACUUAUGUAUUGGAUCACAGAACAAUAGUAACCAACAAUUGCAGAAAAGAACUUGAUCAUAGGCAGGGCAAAUUAUAUGAGUACAUCUGUAUAUGUACCAAAUAUGUUGAUAUCCAUGCUAUUGUUCUGACAUGUAGCAGUACAUCAGUAUCCGCCCGUCGCCUUCAUUGCAGUAAGCAUGGAGGCGAAGAAGGUUGACAUGGCAGAACCUGGCCAUCACCUCCAAUUCUCUUGCGAAAUCACUUUUGCAUUUCAUUGUGACAGCACUGCCAAAGCCUCUUCAAACAACUGUUUUCCCAUUAGAUAAUGGCCCUAGUGACUGAUUACAAUUUUUUUAAUCUAUUUGAUUAGCCUAUAUCUCUUAAAAGAGAUUAUUAAACUACAGGAGAACCGAAGUUGAUCAAUAAACAUAUCACACACGCAAUAUUGGGGAUGAAAUAUAGGUGUGCGCACCUCCUGGCAAAUGAAAUUGCGGCGCAAAGCGUGCAGGCAGAGCAUGGCAACAGCCGCGGAAUCGUCGCCAAGGAAGACUCCUCGGCGACACGCACCAACGCUCGGCUGCACCGGAUGAUGCUGUGUCAGCAUGAUUGUGCUGCUAACAAAGCAUAUUCCUGGAAGUCGACAAUUGAAGCGGGGUGGCCUCGGCACAAUAACACUUACAGUUCAGAGCAUGUACUGCCCAUCAGAAUAAACACUUGAGUCCUCGACUCCUCCUCUGUGGCGGAAGCCGCUGCUUUCCGUGAGCGCGGAGUACGCGGCCGCCGGGAGGCAGAUAUUGGCGUACACAUCGGCACCGGCAUUGGGCACGCCGCGCCAGCUGAGAGUGGCAUGGACGGCCCGUAGCUCGAUGUCCUUGACAACGGCAGCCUAGACUUCGUGUGGGAUGGCAGUGUAGAGAAACUUGGCAUGCCAAGCAACCACCGCCAUGUCUCCAUCUCCGAUGGCCGGGCUGCAUGGUCAGAUCUAGAAGGAGAGAUACUGGGGCAAGCUCAAACCCAAUUCCGAUUUGCUAAGAUCCCCUAUCUACAAGCAUAGCUAUACAACAGGAGGGAUCCUUGCCCGCUCCAAUCAACUACUGCGGUCGCCCGGAAAGAGAGGCGAGGAGCCGGCGGCGAGGAAUUUGGCAGGGUUCUCGAAGCUCCUUUGUUGCGUCGGGAGAGGCGGAGAAACGUCUCGACUAUUGGCGUUGUGUUUCCGAACUCUUCCCCCAAAGUUCUGUCCAUUACGGGGGUGUUCUUGCAAAAGUGUGAGUCAUGUGGCUUGGCCACAACCCAUCUCAGUCUCAGCCAUACAUUCAGAUCGAACGGUGCACAUUGCGCGAAGGCAGGCACACCAUCACCACCAACUGACAUUUUUAUAGGAGUAGAGAUACAUUCGUAUGUGAUGAUCAUUUGAAAUCUUUAGAAAGACAAAUAUUUAGGAACGGAGGGAGUACCACGCGGUUUGUUUUUGUGUGUAAUUACAUGUCAACUAUCGGUAUGCAACCUUUUCUUUUCCUUUCAAGAGUAUUGUCAUCGGUCACAUCCAUCGAUCAUACGGAGUUGCAUGCGCAUCAGCCACACGCUAUUGUAUAUGUAUGUCAUCCGCAUGCAACUUAUGUUUCUUUUUUCCUUUUUAAAAGUACUUUCUUGUCGGUCAACUAUAAGUGUCGCCCUGAUUGCAAGUGCAUAUCUUCAGCUCAGUUGCAACUUACUAGUGUUUGGUCGGAGGGGAAAGUUGCAUGUCUGUCACUAGGCACGCAACUGCAAGUGUCGCUUCCGACUGCAAUUGCAUGUCUUCAACACGAUUACAACUUAGUGUUGUUUUGUUGGGGGGAGGGGGACAAUUGCAUUUUUGUACUACAAACGCAACUGCAAGUGUUGCCCUCGACUGCAAUUGCAUGUCUACAACGUGACUGCAACUCCCUGGUGUUUUUUUUGUCGGGGAGGGGGUAGUUGUAGGGGAACGUAGUAAUUUCAAAAAAAUUCCUACGCACACGCAAGAUCAUGGUGAUGCAUAGCAACGAGAGGGGAGAGUGUUGUCUACGUACCCUCGUAGACCGAAGUGGAAGCGUUGACGCAACAUAGAGGAAGUAGUCGUACGUCUUCCCGGUCCAACCGAUCCAAGCACCGUUACUCCGGCACCUCCGAGUUCUUGGCACACGUUCAGCUCGAUGACGCUCCCCGGGCUCCGAUCCAGCAAAGCUUCGGGGAGGAGUUCCGUCAGCACGACGGCGUGGUGACGAUCUGGAUGUUCAACCGUCGCAGGGCUUCGCCUAAGCACCGCUAUAAUAUGACCGAGGUGGAAUAUGGUGGAGGAGGGCACCGCACACGGCUAAGGAACGAUCACGAAGAUCAACUUAUGUGUCCUAGGGUGCCCCCCUGCCCCCGUAUAUAAAGGAGCCAAGGGGAGGGGGCCGCCGGCCAAGGAGGGCGCGCCAAGGGGGAGUCCUACUCCCACCGGGAGUAGGACUCCCUUCUUUCCUAGUUGGAGAAGGAGAAGUGGGAAAGAGGAGGAAGAGGGAAAGGAAAGGGGGGGCGCCGCCCCCCUCUCCUUGUCCUAUUAGGACUAAGAAGGGGAGGGGCGCGCGGCCACCUCUUGCCUCCUUUCCUCUUCUCCCUUAGGGCCCAUGUAGGCCCAAUAACCCCCGGGGGGGUUCCGGUAACCCCCCGGUACUCCGGUAAAAUCCCGAUUUCACCUGGAACGAUUCCGAUAUCCAAAUAUAGGCUUCCAAUAUAUCGAUCUUUAUGUCUCGACCAUUUCGAGACUCCUCGUCAUGUCCAUGAUCACAUCCGGGACUCCGAACAACCUUUGGUACAUCAAAAUACAUAAACUCAUAAUGAAAUUGUUAUCGUAACAUUAAGCGUGCGGACCCUACGGUUCGAGAACAAUGUAGACAUGACCGAGACACGUCUCCGGUCAAUAACCAAUAGCGGAACCUGGAUGCUCAUAUUGGUUCCUACAUAUUCUAUGAAGAUCUUUAUCGGUCAGACCGCAUAACAACAUACGUUGUUCCCUUUGUCAUCAGUAUGUUACUUGCCCGAGAUUCGAUCGUCGGUAUCUCAAUACCUAGUUCAAUCUCGUUACCGGCAAGUCUCUUUACUCGUUCCGUAAUACAUCAUCUCACAACUAACUCAUUAGUUGCAAUGCUUGCAAGGCUUAUGUGAUGUGCAUUACCGAGAGGGCCCAGAGAUACCUCUCCGACAAUCGAAGUGAAAAAUCCUAAUCUCGAAAUAUGCCAACCCAACAUGUACCUUUGGAGACACCUGUAGAGCACCUUUGUAAUCACCCAGUUACGUUGUGACGUUUGGUAGCACACAAAGUGUUCCUCCGGCAAACGGGAGUUGCAUAAUCUCAUAGUCAUAGGAACAUGUAUAAGUCAUGAAGAAAGCAAUAGCAACAUACUAAACGAUCGGGUGCUAAGCUAAUGGAAUGGGUCAUGUCAAUCAGAUCAUUCACCUAAUGAUGUGAUCCCGUUAAUCAAAUAACAACUCUUUGUCCAUGGUUAGGAAAUAUAACCAUCUUUGAUUAACGAGCUAGUCAAGUAGAGGCAUACUAGUGACACUCUGUUUGUCUAUGUAUUCACACAUGCAUUAUGUUUCUGGUUAAUACAAUUCUAGCAUGAAUAGUAAACAUUUAUCAUGAUAUAAGGAAAUAAAUAAUAACUUUAUUAUUGCCUCUAGGGCAUAUUUCCUUCAGUAGUUGCAUGUUUGCCACUAGGCACGCAACUGCAAGUGUCUCCUCCGACUGCAAUUGCAUGUCUUCAACACGAUUGCAACUUAGUGUUGGUUUGUCGGGGGGCGCAAUUGCAUGUCUUGUUCUACACACGCAACUGCAAGUGUUGCCCUCGACUGCAAUUGCAUGUCUUCAACGUGACUGCAACUUUGUGGUGUUUUUGUCGGAGAGGGGGUAGUUGCAUCUCUGCCACUAGGCACGCAACUGCAAGUGUCUCCUCCGACUGCAAUUGCAUGUCUUCAACGCAACUGCAACUCAGUGAUGUUUUCGUCAGGAAGGGGGCAGUUGCAUAUCUUUUCACUAGACAUAAUGUCGCCACGACUACAGCUGCAUGUUGUUGUUGUUGUUCUUGUGGUGGUGGUGGUUGUUGUUGUUACUAUUAUUAUUAGUACUACUACUACUAGUACUAUUAUUAUUAUUAUUAUUAUUAUUAUUAUUAUUAUUAUUAUUAUUAUUAUUAUUUUAUAUUUUUUAUGCUUAUUUUAUUUUUUUGGUGCAUUUUGAGUUUUUCUUUUUGAAAACACACGUGAACAUUUUUCAAAAUACAUGAUGUUUUUUAGGAACAUUUUUUCCAACACAUGAUGAAUAAUAUUAAUAAUAAACAAGCAAUUUUUCCAAAAUAUCAUGAUAAAUGUAAACAAAAUGCUUCCAUUUCUUUUUACAGUGAGCUGAUAACUAAUUUUUCAAAGGAAAUGAACGUUUAACAAACAAUAGGAAAAAAAAGAAAAACUAAACAUAAACAAAAAAACGGAUGGAAGGAAAAUCAUGCAAACUUACUACUGGCCCGGCCUGUGUGCCAGAACGAGCAGCAUCUCCAGAAACUCUCGAUGGACUCAAAAAAACGCUGGACUAAAGGCACAGAGCAACGUGAGAAACUGACAAAGGCAUUAGACGCAAUAGCAGGGCCGGCCCAACAAUACUAGAAAAGUAGCAGACUAAAUGAGAAAUAAAAAAUGGGCUGGGCUAUUGUUAGAUGGUGUUAUCUGACUGAGACUUCGCGAAGUCUCAGUCGACUAAGACCUAGAUAGACCCAAUAAAAAAGACAAAUUCUACAUGAAUAGUGUCACAAAAGACAGAAGCAAAUAUGGCACUAUUCACGUGUAGAUUUGUCUUUCUUGUUUCUUAAUAUAUAUUUCGGAUUUGGAUUUGAAAUUUUUAGGGGUGAUAGACAUAUGUCUUAUGAACAUUCAUAUUUUUUUUCAAAAAAAAUUGGAACACAAAUUUUGAGUUUUGAGAUAUGGUAUCAUGUGAUGCUUGGUAUCACUAGAUAUCUUCCGACUGUGUGAUAUUUGUAGACCUUCGCCUUCUGGAAGUGUGUGUGUUUGUUGGGGUUUGGGUGCGAGGAUAUGGGCCGUCCACCGUCAGCUUUCGUUUAUUGGAGAAUGCGGCUUUGCCUGAAAAGUAAGCUGCGACUUGACAGAUCGACCUCCUACGCUCCUACUCCUAGGUCCUGGUGUCACUGGCGCUAGCAGAUUCCCCUAGGGUUUUCUAGGGUACCCGAUCUCCUCUGGCGAUCUACGCCGGAGUCCACGUGAAACCUUGCCAGCGGGCGAGUUCCCCUCGUCUGCCAGCAAGUCAAACCUUACCCAGGUGUUUGUGAGAGGUCUGCAUGGCGGAUUCAACCUCAGGGGCGAAGCAGAUGGAGAAGGGGGAGCAGGGAGCAGAUGUGAAGAUGUAGUUCGGGAGAAGACGGAAGCGGAGGCGGUGAUCGGGGGAGAGGCGACUGCUGAGGUGGUUGGGGCAAGCGGGGCUGUAGGGCUGGAUGGUGGAGUUAUGGAGGGGGAUGUGGGAGAUGGGAUCAACCCAGAUUUACCCGAUAGAGUGGAUGAUGAAGAGGAGUACGACUAUUAUGGGGGCCCUGAACCGGAGCUAGCAGAUCGCUUUGUAGGGAUGAAGUUGCAGGGAGAAGAGGAGGAAGCGUUGGAUUUCUCGGAGGAGGUAGAAGAACUGAUCAAGGACGUUCGUUGGUUGGGGCUUUUUCGAGUUCAUACUACCAGACCUUUUAGCCACUCGGCUUUGCUCAAUCAAAUGUGUAACGCAUGGUCUGCAGCGCAAGGGGUUACUUUCAGCAUAAAGGGGCCAAAUCUUUUCCUGGUUCAAUGCCACUGCCUAGGAGAUUGGAGGAGGAUAAUGGAUGGAGGGCCAUGGCUGUUUCGUAGGGCUCCGGUAGUUAUUUAGGAGUACGAUGGAUAUACGGAUGUGAACAGCUACAACAUGCAUAAGAUCCCAGUGUGGACAAGAGUUAAAGGCCUACUAGAUGGCCUCACGAGAAAGAAACAGCUGGCUGAAAAGGUAGCGGGCAAGGUGGGAGAGCCCCCGUUUACAAUUGUGGUUAAUGAAGGUAGGAUUAACCCGGCAAGCACUCUCCGUGCGCGGGUGCUUUGGAUGUGAACAAGCCUCUUGUACGAUUUGUGCAAAUAACUCUCAAAGAAAGCAUCACGUAUCCGGUCUACUAUGAAAAAUUGCCUGAUUUUUGCUUUGUGUGCGGAAUAAUGGGACACUUGGCUGAGGAGUGUGGCGACGGGGUCCACGACCCCAGAACUUUUGAGUGGGGAGAUUGGCUUCUCUGGUCCCCUGAGCCUUUCAUUGACGCGUCCAUGGGAGAAAGAGGUGGUGGAGCCAGAAGAGGGAGAGGAAGUAUGGCGGGAAGAGGAGAUAGAGGAGGAAGGCAAGGUAGAGGGGAGAUGGAUGGAAGAGGUGGGACGGAUAGUGAAGCAAGAAGAUGGAGGGGGAAUGGAAGGGGGGCGGGCCAAGCUAAUAGCAACUUUGAGCAUACAAUGAUGGAUUAUACUGAGCAGCAGCCACAUAGUUCAAACGCUCGAAAGCGGUUAGUGUCAGCAGAUGGAUCCAUGAAUAUUAGAGGACAGUCUAUUCCGAACUUGGCUGGGAAAGUUUCGGGUACUGUCCUUAUGAUCGAGGGGGCGACAUAGAAAACAAAUACUGAUCCAGCGACAAGCACUCCCGGCAAGGUGCCAAUUGUGAAGCGAAGGAGACAGGAUGGAAGGGAAGGUGAUGAGGACAGGGAGCAACUAACAAAGGCGGCCUCCCGUGAGGAGGGCCGCCAAUGCUGAUGCGGACCUUGUGCUGGAACUGUCGCGGGAUUGGCGUGUUGGGGAACGUAGCAGAAAUUCAAAAUUUUCUACACAUCACCAAGAUCAAUCUAUGGAGUAAUCUAGCAACGAGGGGAAGGAGAGUGCAUCUACAUACCCUUGUAGAUCACUAAGCGGAAGCGUUCAAGUGAACGGGGUUGAUGGAGUCGUACUCGUCGUGAUGCAAAUCACCGAUGAUCCUAGUGCCGAACGGACGGCACCUCCGUGUUCAACACACGUACAGCCCGGUGACGUCUCCUACGCCUUGAUCCAGCAAGGGGAGAAGGAGAGGUUGGGGAAGACUCCAUCCAGCAGCAGCACGACGGCGUGGUGGUGGUGGAGGAGCGUGGCAAUCCCGCAGGGCUUUGCCAAGCACCGCAGGAGAGGAGGAGGGAGAGAGGCAGGGCUGCGCCAUGGAGAGGUCAAAACUCAUGUGUCGGCAGCCCCAAAGUCCUCAAGUAUAUAUAGGGGAGAGGGAAGGGGGUGCGCCCCCUUUAGGGUUUCCACCCCAAGGGAUGCGGCAGCCCCAAACCCAUCUAGGGUGGCGGCCAAGGGGGAAGACGGGGAAACUUGCCCCGCAAGCUAGGUGGAGGCGCCCCCUCCCCAAACCAUAGGCGCCUUGGGCCCUUGUGGGAGGGCGCACCAGCCCAGCUGCGGUUGGUCCCCUCCCACACUUGGCCCAUGCAGCCCUCCGGGGCUGGUGGCCCCACUUGGUGGACCACCGGGACCCUCUCGGUGGUCCCGGUACAUUACCGAUAAAACCCGAAACUUUUCCGGCGACCAAAACAGGACUUCCCAUAUAUAAAUCUUUACCUCCGGACCAUUCCGGAACUCCUCGUGACGUCCAGGAUCUCAUCCGGGACUCCGAAAAACAUUCGGUAACCACGUAUAUCUAUUGCCUAUAACCCUAGCGUCAUCGAACCUUAAGUGUGUAGACCCUACGGGUUCGGGAACCAUGCAGACAUGACCGAGACAACUCUCCGGCCAAUAACCAACAGCGGGAUCUGGAUACCCAUGUUGGCUCCCACAUGUUCCACGAUGAUCUCAUCGGAUGAACCACGAUGUCAAGGAUUCAAUCAAUCCCGUAUACAAUUCCCUUUGUCUAGCGGUACGAUACUUGCCCGAGAUUCGAUCGUUGGUAUCCCGAUACCUUGUUCAAUCUCGUUACCGGCAAGUCUCUUUACUCGUUCCGUAACACAUCAUCCCGUGAUCAACUCCUUGAUCACAUUGUGCACAUUAUGAUGAUGUCCUACCGAGUGGGCCCAGAGAUACCUCUCCGUUUACACGGAGUGACAAAUCCCAGUCUCGAUUUGUGCCAACCCAACAGACACUUUCGAAGAUACCUGUAGUGAACCUUUAUAGCCACCCAGUUACGUUGUGACGUUUGGUACACCCAAAGCAUUCCUACGGUAUCCGGGAGUUGCACAAUCUCAUGGUCUAAGGAAAUGAUACUUGACAUUAGAAAAGCUUUAGCAUACGAACUACACGAUCUUUGUGCUAGGCUUAGGAUUGGGUCUUGUCCAUCACAUCAUUCUCCUAAUGAUGUGAUCCCGUUAUCAACGACAUCCAAUGUCCAUGGUCAGGAAACCGUAACCAUCUAUUGAUCAAUGAGCUAGUCAACUAGAGGCUUACUAGGGACAUGGUGUUGUCUAUGUAUCCACACAUGUAUCUGAGUUUCCUAUCAAUACAAUUCUAGCAUGGAUAAUAAACGAUUAUCAUGAACAAUGAAAUAUAAUAUAAUAAUAACUAAUUUAUUAUUGCCUCUAGGGCAUAUUUCCAACAGUCUCCCACUUACACUAGAGUCAAUAAUCUAGUUCUCAUCGCCAUGUGAUUAACACUCAGAGGUCACAUCGCCAUGUGACCAACAUCCAAGAGUCUACUAGACUCAAUGAUCUAGUUCACAUCACUAUGUGAUAAACACUCAAAGAGUUCUGGGUUUGAUCAUGUUAUUCUUGUGAGAGAGGUUGUAGUCAACGGGUCUUGCCAUAUUCAGAUCCCUAUGUAUUUCGCAAAACUUUAUAUCGUAGAUGCUGCUGCCACGUUCCACUUGGAGGUAUUCCAAAUUGUUGCUCCAUUAUACGUAUCCGGUAUCUCUACUCAGAGCUAUCCGGAUAGGUGUUAAGCUUGCAUCGACGUAACUCUUUACGUCAAACUCUUUAUCACCUCCAUAACCGAGAAACAUUUCCUUAUUCCUCUAAAGAUAAUUUUGACCGCUAUCUGGUGAUCUACUCCUAGAUCACCUUUGUACCCUCUUGCCAGACAUGUGGCAAGGCACACAUCAGGUGUGGUACUCAGCAUGGCAUACCGUAUAGAGCCUAUGACAAAAGCAUAGGGGACAACCUUCGUCCUUCCUCUUUCUUCUGCCGUGGUCAAUCUUUGAGUCUUACUCAACUUCACACCUUACAACUCAGGUAAGAACCCCUUCUUUGACUGAUCUAUUUUGAACUCCUUCAAAAACAUGUCAAGGUGUGCGUUCUUUGAAAGUAUCAUCAGGCGUCUUGAUCUAUCUCUAUAGAUCUUGAUGCCCAAUAUGUAAGCAGCUUUAUCCAGGUCUUCCUUUGAAAAUCACUCUUCAAACAACCGUUUAUGCUUUCCAGAAAUUCUACAUCAUUUCGGAUCAACAAUAUGUCAUCCACAUAUACUUAUCAGAAAUGUUGUAGUGCUCCCACUCACUUUCUUGUAAAUACAAGUUUCUAGCAAACAUUGUAUAAACCUAAAAGCUUUGAUCACUCCAUCAAAGCAUAUAUUCCGAUUCUGAGAUGCUUGCUCUAGUCCAUAGAAGGAUUGCUAGAGCCAGCAUACCUUUUAGCAUCCUUAGGAUCGACAAAACCUUUUAUUGUAUCACAUACAACUUUUCUUACGAAAACUGGUAAGAAAACUUGUUUUGACAUCCAUCUGUAAGAUUUCAUAAUCGAAAAAUACAGCUAAUGCUAUCAUGAUUCUGACGGACUUAAGCAUCGCUACGGGUGAGAAAUUCUGAUCGUAGUCAACUCCUUGAACUUGUGAAAAGACUCUUUCCCACAAGUCGAGCUUCAUAGACGGUAACAUUACCGCCCACGUCCGUCUUCUUCUUAAAGAUCCAUUUAUCUCAAUGGCUUGCCGAUCAUUGGGCAAGUCCACCAAAGUCCAUACUUUGUUCUGAUAUAUGGAUCCUAUCUCGGAUUUCAUGGCUUCUAACCAUUUGUCAGAAUACGGGCCCACCAUCGCUUCUCCAUAGCUCAUAGGUUCAUUGUUGUCUAACAACAUGAUAUCUAAGACAGGAUUACCGUACCACUUAGGAGUAGUACAUAUCCUUGUCGACCUAUGAGGUUCGAUAGCAACUUGAUCCGAAGCUUCAUGAUCACUAUCAUUAACUUCCUAUUCAACAGACGUAGGCGCCACAGAAAACAUCUUUUUUUGUUGCGUCACUCUCUGGUUGAAGUGAAGGUUCGACAACCUCAUCAAGUUCUAUCUUCCUCCCACUCAAUUCUUUCGAGAGAAACUCCUUCUCGAGAAAGGACCCGUUCUUAGCGACAAACAAUUUGCCCUCGGAUCUGAGAUAGAAGGUAUACCCUACUGUCACCUUUGGGUAUCCUAUGAAGAUGUGUUUGUCCGCUUUGGGUUCGAGCUUCUCCGGCUGAAGCCUUAAGCAUCGCAUCCCCAAAUGUUAAGAAACGACAACUUUGGUUUCUUGCCAAACCAAUGUUCUUAUGACAUCGUCUCAACGGACUUAGAUGGUGUCCUAUCUAAAGUGAAUGCAGCUGUCUGUAACGCAUAACCUUAAAAUGAAAACGGUAGAUUGAUAAGAGACAUCAUAGAUCGCACCAUAUCUCAUAAGGUUCGAUUACGAUGUCCGGACACACCAUAACCCAGUGGUGUUCCAGGUGGCUUCAACUGUGAAACAAUUCCAUAAUGUCUUAAGUGUUUGCCAAACUCAUAACUCAGAUAUUCUCAUUGAUCAGAUCGUAGGAAUUUGAUCUUCUUGUUAUGAUGAUUCUUAACUUCACUCUGAAAUCGCUUGAACUUCUCAAACGUUUCAGACUUGUGCUUCAUUAAGUAAACAUACCUAUAUCUACUCAAAUCGUCAGUGAAGAUGAGAAAAUAGCGAUAUCCACCGCAUGCUUCAAUUCUCAUUGGAUCACACGCAUCAGCAUGUAUGAUUUCCAACAAGUCACUUUCCCGUUUCAUUGUACCUGAAAGCGGGGUCUCAGUCAUCCUGCCCAUGAGGCAUGGCUCGCAUGUGUCAAGCGAUUCAAAAUCAAGUGACUCCAAACAUCCAUCGACAUGGAGUUUCUUCAUGCAUCUUACGCCAAUAUGACCUAAGCGGCAGUGCCACAAGAAAGUGGUACUAUCAUUAUUAACUCUACAUCUUUUGGCGUGAACAUGUGUAUUACCACGACCGAGAUUCAAUGAACCAUUCACAUAGGGUGCAUGACCAUGAAAGGUAUUAUUCAUGUAAUCAGAAUAACCAUUAUUCCCUAACUUAAAUGAAUAACCGUAUUGCAAUGAACAUGAUCUAAUCAUAUUCAUGCUCACCGUAGACACCUGAUAACAUUUAUCUAGGUUCAAUACUAAUCCCGAAGGCAGAUGGAGCGUGCGAUGGUGAUCUCAUCAACUUUGGAAACACUUCCAACACACAUCGUCACCUCGCCCUCGGCCAGUCUCCGUUUAGUCCGUAGCUUUUGCUUCAAGUCACCAAUAAUAGUAACUAAACCGGUAUCCAAUACCCAGGUGCUACCAGGAGUACUAGUGAGGUACACAUUA